UACGUAGGGGGCAAGCGUUGUCCGGAAUCAUUGGGCGUAAAGCGCGUGUAGGCGGCUUGGUAAGUCCGCUCUGAAGGCCCGGGGCUCAACCCCGGGAGGCGGGUGGAUACUGUCAAGCUCGAGUCCGGAAGAGGCGAGUGGAAUUCCUGGUGUAGCGGUGAAAUGCGCAGAUAUCAGGAGGAACACCAAUGGCGAAGGCAGCGUCGCUGGGACGUGACUGACGCUGAGGCGCGAAGCCAGGGGAGCGAACGGG
rnacentral:rRNA from 1 species